rnacentral:rRNA from 1 species
CACAUGCAAGUCGAACGGAUGUAGCAAUACAUUAGUGGCGCACGGGAGAGUAACGCGUGGGAACCUACCUUUUGGUUCGGGAUAACGUCGGGAAACUGACGCUAAUACCGGAUACGCCCUUCGGGGGAAAGAUUUAUCGCCAUUAGAUGGGCCCGCGUUAGAUUAGCUAGUUGGUGAGGUAAUGGCUCACCAAGGCGACGAUCUAUAGCUGGUCUGAGAGGAUGACCAGCCUCACUGGGACUGAGACACGGCCCAGACUCCUACGGGAGGCAGCAGUGGGGAAUAUUGGACAAUGGGGGAAACCCUGAUCCAGCCAUGCCGCGUGAAUGAUGAAGGCCUUCGAGUUGUAAAGUUCUUUUGCAGGGGACGAUGAUGACGGUACCCUGAGAAUAAGCUCCGGCUAACUUCGUGCCAGCAGCCGCGGUAAUACGAAGGGAGCUAGCGUUGUUCGGAAUUACUGGGCGUAAAGGGCGCGUAGGCGGUUUAACAAGUUGGGUGUGAAAGCCCAGGGCUCAACCCUGGAACUGCACUCAAGACUGUUUUACUUGAAUUCGGUAGAGGUUAGUGGAAUUCCCAGUGUAGAGGUGAAAUUCGUAGAUAUUGGGAAGAAUAUCCGUGGCGAAGGCGGCUAACUGGACCGACAUUGACGCUGA